rnacentral:rRNA from 1 species
GGGGAGCUUGCUCCUUGGAUCAGUGGCGAACGGGUGAGUAACACGUGAGCAAUCUGCCCUUGACUCUGGGAUAACUGCGGGAAACUGUAGCUAAUACCGGAUACGACCUGAAGAGGCAUCUUUUUGGGUGGAAAGAAUUUUGGUCAAGGAUGAGCUCGCGGCCUAUCAGCUUGUUGGUGAGGUAAUGGCUCACCAAGGCGACGACGGGUAGCCGGCCUGAGAGGGUGACCGGCCACACUGGGACUGAGACACGGCCCAGACUCCUACGGGAGGCAGCAGUGGGGAAUAUUGCACAAUGGGCGCAAGCCUGAUGCAGCAACGCCGCGUGAGGGACGAAGGCCUUCGGGUUGUAAACCUCUUUUAGUAGGGAAGAAGUGACUGGGUUUUCCUGGGAGUGACGGUACCUGCAGAAAAAGCACCGGCUAACUACGUGCCAGCAGCCGCGGUAAUACGUAGGGUGCAAGCGUUGUCCGGAAUUAUUGGGCGUAAAGAGCUCGUAGGCGGUUUGUCGCGUCUGCUGUGAAAACCCGAGGCUCAACCUCGGGCCUGCAGUGGGUACGGGCAGACUAGAGUGCGGUAGGGGAGAUUGGAAUUCCUGGUGUAGCGGUGGAAUGCGCAGAUAUCAGGAGGAACACCAAUGGCGAAGGCAGAUCUCUGGGCCGUAACUGACGCUGAGGAGCGAAAGCAUGGGGAGCGAACAGGAUUACAUACCCUGGUAGUCCAUGCCGUANACGUUGGGAACUAGAUGUGGGGACCAUUCCACGGUCUCCGUGUCGCAGCUAACGCAUUAAGUUCCCCGCCUGGGGAGUAC